rnacentral:rRNA from 1 species
GUGCAACUCAAGGGGAUGACUUGUGUGUAGGGGAGAAAUUCCAAUCGAGUUUGGCAAUAGCUGGUUCUCUCUGAAAUAGCUUGAGGGCUAGCGUCUUGUAAAUUGUAUCCGAGGGGUAGAGCUACUGGAUGAGAAUUCGCGGUUUACCGUAGUGUUUUCAACCAAACUCCGAAUACUCGCGAUAUGUACCAAGGCAGUCAGUACUCCGGGGCUAAGCUCGGAGCACAAAAGGGAAAAAGCCCAGAUCGUCAGCUAAGGUCCCAAAAUUUGUAUUAAGUGGGAAAGGAAGUGAAGACUCUUAGACACUUAGGAGGUUGGCUUAGAAGCAGCAAUCCUUUAAAGAGUGCGUAAUAGCUCACUAAUCUAGAGUCUUCGCGCCGACAAUUUAACGGGGCUAAAAUACAAUACCGAAGCUACGGACUGUAUCGCAAGAUACAGUGGUAAGAGAGCGUUCCAUAUGCACUGAAGCAGAAGGGUGACCGACUGUGGAGCGUAUGGAAGUGAGAAUGUUGGAAUGAGUAACCGCAAUGAGGGUGAGAGCCCCUCACAUCGAAAGUCCGAGGUUUCCUGGGCCAUGGUGAUCAUCCCAGGGUUAGUCGGUCCUAAGGCCAGGCUGAAAAGCGUAGUCGAUGGACAUCAGGUUAAUAUUCCUGAACUAUUUGUAUAUUCGAAGGAGAGACGCAUCUCUGUACCUUUUGCCCCUUAUUGGAUUGGGGUUUGGUCUUCGAGGACGUCGUACAGGAAAAUCCGUACGGCACUAGUCCAAGAAGAAUGACGAAGUCUUACUACGGUAAGAUGAAGAAAAGGGAGCGGGGUGCCAGGAAAAUCUUCUAAGGUUCGUAUACAAGUAUCCGUACCGCAAACCGACACAGGUGGACAGGGCGAGUAGCCUAAGAUGAACGGGAGAGAAUUCGUUAAGGAACUCGGCAAAAAAGCUAGACGUAAGUUCGCAAUAUGUCUUGCCAACCGUUAGGUUGGCCGCAGCAAAAGUUUUCCAAGCAACUGUUUAUCAAAAACACAGGUCUCUGCAAACCCGCAAGGGGAAGUAUAGGGGCUGACACCUGACCAGUGCUGGAACGUUAACGGGAGCGGUGCAAGCCAAUCCCCGAAGCGCCAGUGAACGUCGGCGAUAACUAUAAUCGUCCUAAGGUUCUGGUUCUGUGAAGAACGGAAUCAGAAGGACUGGGACGAUUGUGGUGAGUGUGAUAAAGAGGAAAGAACAAAAUAUUACAAACAAGGAAAAGUAAUUGCUUCUAUUGAAUUGUUUCAAUGGGUCCAAAAUACUUAGCCAUAUGCUGGAAACUCUGGAGUAUCUGAUGAUACUAUGGUAUAAUUAUUCCAUAGAAUAAAAUAUGCCAAGUAAAAAAUCAAUCAGUGUGUCUCACUCUUGUAGUAGUGGAACGCCAGACAAUCAGCAGGAAAGACUAAAAACCAUAGGCUGGAUAACCGGUUAUGUAGAUGGAGAAGGUUGUUUCUCCGUGAGUUUUAUUAAAAAUGCUACCACAAAGAGUGGUUGGCAAAUAUUUCCAGAAUUUGUGGUAACACAAGGAGGGAAAAGUAAGAAUUCACUUGAAAUAAUCCAAAACUUCUUCGAAUGUGGAAAGAUAUUUGUGAAUCGACGAUAUGAUAAUCAUCGAGAACAUAUAUAUCGUUACUGUGUUCGAUCACAAGAAAAUCUUCGAAAAAUAAUUAUUCCAUUUUUUGAAGAACAUCAACUCCGAACAGCUAAAAAAGAAGACUUCAAACAUUUUUCUUUUAUUCUGCAUCAGAUGAAACUUAAAAAACAUCUCACAGAAAAAGGAAUGAUGGUGAUUGCAAAACGAGUUGAGAAAAUGAAUCACAAGAAAUCUUCGAGGUUUUUAGAAUCCUCAGAGACCAAACGCUAAGCUCGUGCAAACGAGAAAAGAGAGUCCGUGCUUAUCGGCGACGAUAAGAUAACAUAACAGAGCGAAAUUCCUUGUCAGGUAAGUUCUGACGCGCAUGAAAGGUGUAAUGACUUGGAAACUGUCUCAACGAACAUCCCGGUGAAAUUGCAAUGACGGUAAGAGCUUUACUAUAACUUGGUAUUGACUUAAAGUUUUUGCUGC